GCCUGAAAUGUGGCAAAAGGUCGCAAAGUUCAAGGGGGCCGAAUACUUUUGCAAGGCACUGUACAUUCCAAGCAUGUGAGAGACUGUACAGUACCAAUAUAUACUGUCAUUUAUCCUGGAUGAGUUUCCCGAAACAAAUGUGGCAUGUGGCGCUCGACAGCCUAGCCUCUCAGGCGCAAGAGAGUAACUGUGCUUGAACAAACUAAUUAAUAAAAUUAAGCACGUUCUAUGAGUGGCAUCGGCGGGGGUCUGGGUUUUUGAGAGAAAUAAAGUACCACGUUAACACCCCUGCUCAGAGGCCUGUGGUUGUGAUUAUAGGGCUUGAAUAGUUGAAGGAAAAUAUGGGGGAUAUGAAUUCUGAUGUGACUGUGGCUGGCUUAGUAUAAUUACAAGCCAGAAUCCUAACCUGAGAUCUGAGCAUGUAACACAAACAGAAAGUUAAGUAUUACAUUAUCUCAAGCAUACCAACACAGCUUAGUUUGAAUGGCAUGGAGGAUUGAUACAAUACUCUUUUAGUCACUCCACAGUCAGUCAUGUAAAAUGGAAUUGAGAAUGAAGAGCAUUUUAUACUAGCUCAUGUUCUGUCACACAAUCAAUUCAUAAAAGACAUGGCAGCCUAGGUUGGGGCUUGUUUUAUCUGUCAACCAUACCAAAUACCAUACCAUACCGUAUUUCUGUAAGAUACUGAGGGCUCUAUUUUAUCAAACUUAAUGCCAUGGUAAGUCACUAAGGCUAAGACUGUUGGUAGCGCUAUAGGUCCAGAGGUGUUUUUUUUGUUGCUAUUUUCACUGCAGAAAUUAUGGGCGCAGUAGCUGGCAGUUGUGUGAAAGGGCUGGGAUAAAUUGGGAGGCUUGUCCCCUCACUGGCCAAUCAGAACGAGGUCCAUGGCUAAAUAUGUGGGUGCUUCUAGUUGUGUAUUUACGGUCUUUCAUGUUUUAAGUUGUUAUCAAAGCCAAUUUGAAUGUUAGUCCGCUAUAGCCUAGUUUGUUAAAUAGCCUACAGAAACAAAAUAACAACAUGUAGGCAUAUUCCAUCUUUGCUAAAUACAUUGAACAUGUUUGCAGUCCAUAUUGUUCUAAGUCUUGUUCUGCCAUUGCUUCAAUAUGGAAAUACACUACCGUUCAAAAGUUUGGGUCACUUAGAAAUGUCCUUGUUUUUGAAAGAAAAGCUAAUUUUUUGUCCAUUAAAAUAACAUCAAAUUGAUCAGAAAUACAGUGUAGACAUUGUUAAUGUUGUAAAUGACUAUUGUAGCUGGGAAACUGCAGAUUUUUUAUGGAAUAUCUACAUAGACACAUACAGAGGCCAACCAUCACAUCAGCAACCAUCACUCCUGUGUUCCAAUGGCAUGUUGUGUUAGCUAAUCCCAAGUUUAUAAUUUUAAAAGGCUAAUUGAUCAUUAGAAAACCCUUUUGUAAUUAUGUUAGCACAGCUGAAAACUGUUGUAAUAAGCAAUAAAACUGGCCUUCAUUAGACAAGUUGUGUAUCUGGAGCAUCAGCAUUUGUGGGUUCGAUUACAGGCUCAAAAGGGCCAUAAACCUUUCUUCUGAAACUCGUCAGUAUAUUCUUGUUCUGAGAAAUUAAGGCUAUUCCAUGAGAGAAAUUGCAAAGAAACUGAAGAUCUUGUACAACACCGUGUUACGACACCCUUCACAGAACAGUGCAAAUUGGCGCUAACCGAAAUAGAAAGAUGUGUGGGAGGCCCCGGUGCACAACUGAGCAAGUCUGGAUGUAAUUUUUUUGCAGUACUGUUUAUUCGAGAUGAUAUGAACAAUGUGGACAAUUUUCAGCAAGUUGCAACAUUGAAACAGAAAUAAACAGUUUUCCAUAAACAAGGUCUAAAUCAUGUUUGAUUGCACCUCUGGAUGUCAUUUUAUUUGCAGUACUGUUUAUUCGUGAUGAUAUGAACAAUGUAGACCAUUUUCAGCAAGGUGGAACAUUGAAACACAGAAAUAAACACUUUUCCAUGAACAAG
ensembl:lncRNA